rnacentral:rRNA from 1 species
AAAGGACGACCUCGGGAGCUUGCACAGGUGCUGCAUGGCUGUCGUCAGCUCGUGUCGUGAGAUGUUCGGUUAAGUCCGCUAACGAGCGCAACCCUCACUGUGUGUUAUAUGUGUCACACGGGACUGCCGGUUUUAAGCCGGAGGAAGGUGGGAUGACGUCAAGUCAGCAUGGCCUUUAUAUCCUGGGCUACACACACGCUACAAUGGUCGGUACAAUAGGUUGCCAAGCCGCGAGGCGGAGCCAAUCCAAAAAAGCCGGCCUCAGUUCAGAUUGUAGGCUGCAACUCGCCUGCAUGAAGAUGGAGUUGCUAGUAACCGCAGGUCAGCAAUACUGCGGUGAAUACGUUCCCGGGUCUU